GUUUUUUUUUUCCUUUGUUCUCUCCUUCUCUUUCUCUUCCUUCUCUCGCUCUUUCGCCAUACUCUCUCUUUCGAAGCACAAAACAGAGAGUAUUUUUUGCUUCUCUCUUUUACUCGAAGCUCUGUUUUUGUUUUCCGUUCUAAAAAACCCCAAAAUUUUGUUUUUUGAAUUUGAUUUUGAUUUUGAAAAACCCUAAUAUAAAAUCGUCUUUUGGAUUUGCUUCGUUUAUGAUCUGUUCAAGUAGAGGAACGAUCGUAAUUGCUACUCUAAACCCAUUUCUAAGAUUACCCAUCAAACAAUUUUCCGGAUUUCAUGUAAACCGGACUCGAAUUCGAAAUGAUCUCUCCAUCAAUGCGGUGUUUCCCCUUCUUCUUCGCCGACGACGACGACGAUGGUGGUUGAUGAACAAGUGGCUGUGAGAAGGGAUUUGGUAUGAGGCGGGUUUUGGAGAAUUUGAGCUUAAUUAAUGAUAAUGCUGUCGUUUUCUAGGGGUGUUUCCUGGAUUCCUAUGUCGUUUUCUCAGCUGGUCCUAAGUCCUAACUAUUACCUUGGAUUCAAUCGUGUCUUACUUAUAUUUUACUUAGAUAUAAGAGCAAUUUAGACUAACUUGGUAAAAAUAUUUGUUACUCAGAGAUGAUUUUUAGGAUGUGUAUCAUGUGAUUCUACUAACUAAGUUUCUCAUUACCAAGUCUUGAGUGUUGUUGUACAUUGAUCUUCAAGAUUUCUGACUAUAUAUCCAGUGUAUCUCUACUCUCUUGUUUAUAGUCUUCUUCUAUUAUAUCUUGUUUGGCUACGUAGGUCCUAAACCUGAUAUCUUUUUGUGAGCUUGCUUGUAGGGGACUUGUUGUUCUGCUACAUGGUCUGAACAAACACAGAUUUGUAUUGUGUACCUUUUGAGUUUGAUCAUGAACUCUACUUCCAUAUAGGAAACAAUUAACGGUGAAUUUUAUUCAAACUCUCAACAGUGGCAGGUAUAGUGAUUUCGCAAAGCAGCUAAAUGCUAUAGGAUUCAAGGUCUAUGAAAUAGAUUGGAUCGGUCAUGGUGGAAGCGAUGGACUUUAUGCUUACGUUCCUUCUCUUGAUUUUGCUGUCGCUGACUUGAAAUCGUUUCUUGAGAAGGUUAUUGCAGAAAACCUGGGAUUGCCCUGUUUCUGUGUUGGCCAUUCAACAGGAGGAGCCAUUAUUUCAAAGGUUAAAAGAUCUUCAAACAUGUUCUCACCAUAUCAUUGCUCUUGAAACCAUAUGCUGAUUGUUGACUAUAUAAAUUAUUCUCGCAGGCUAUGCUAUGCUCGAGUUCAUGGAUUGUGCUAACUUCACCCGCUGUUGGAGUCCAACCAUCUCAUGCUAUCUUCGGCGUAAGCCAAAGCCAAACCUGAAGAACCUCAAGAAUCUGAACAAUUUUCACAAACUUUUUAUUUGAAAAUAAUAAUUUUUCAAAAAUAAGAACUAUCCUAUCCCAUUUAUACAUAAAUUCCAAACAUGUUUCACCUACUGCAAUACAAUCAAUCUCUUAUCUACUUA